AAACCCCCCCAGUCAUAGCCUGCCUUUCCCUCUACCCACUCACAGCUACACAGAGGCAUGCCAUUAAUUUGCUCCCUUAAGUACCACAUAUCUGUAAGACUUCAGCUUAACCUUAUUUCCAGUCUGAUUAAAGAAAGCUCCAGUGACUCUUGGAGCAAUUAAAUCCAAUUUAUGUAUAGAACUCUUCUGGAUAUCCCAUAUAGUCUCCCUCAACCCAUGUGCUACAAGAUACUGGUGAGAUAGUUGGAUUCCUCUAAUUUAGCACAGCUUUAAAAAUACCCACUAGCCAAUUCGGGAACAAGCUCAUUACUGGAAAGAAAUCAUUUUCACCUGUUUCUACCUACCGUUUAGAAACAUCAUGCUCUUCUGUCUCCUCCACCCACCCGGUGGCUAACCGCAGUUAAUUAAACUCAGCAUCACCGGGAUAGCAUAAUCAUCCUUAAAGAGCCACUGACUUAUCUUGGCUGGAGUUCAUCUCCCUAGCAGAGAGACGCCUUAGAUUCCUGCCAGGCACACCUGCCCGAAUUCAGGUAUUUCACGCCCUCCACCCACCCCCAGGUAUCAGCAGUUAAAACUUUUAGGGAAUAGGGCGAAUUUCUAAACUGAUAAAAGCCUAGAAAGAUCAGCGACACCUAGAAGCGGGUAUGUAUCACUUGAAAACAGCAAUUACUUUGUCCCGAAAUGCCUUAUUUUGUUAAAAAAAAAAAUUACUCUUUAACAUACAGUAUUUAGUAUUUACAGUAUUUAAAUUAUUAAUACAGUAUUUACAGCAUUUAAAUCAUUUAAUUUCUUUCUUGGAGGGGCUGCUUGGGUAAAACUCUGAAGAAAAAAAAAGCUACCAGUAUCACUUUAUAGGAGAAACCGUGUGAAAGCCCAUCCACGGAAAAGGAAAAUGAUACACAGGAGCCCUCCUGUACCUUCAGUGGGGACUCUAGAGGUACUGGACACAUGGACUUAGUUACAUGAUAAACAUGGGUGGAAGAGAGACGUACUGAGGAUAUUUUUAAAAAUAUUUUAUUAUUUAUUUGACAGAGAGAGACACAGUGAGAGAGGGAACACAAGCAGGGGGAGUGGGAGAGGGAGAAACGGGCUUCCCGCGGAGCAGGGAGCCUGAUGCGGGGCUCAAUCCCAGGACCCUGGGAUCAUGACCUGAGCCGAAGGCAGACGCUUAACGACUGAGCCACCCAGGCGCCCCGGUACUGAGAGUAUUUUGAUCUUGGCUGAAACAAAGUUAAUUUCUCUUACAGUCUUUGGUUACCCGUUGCCCAUCACCUGUCUUCUGUUUCCUCUCUCUUCAUUAAUCCCUCCAUGCCUUUCUCCUCUCCUCUCCAAUCUUUCCCAUCUCUGACCUGAACUCAUGAGGACGUUAAUCCAAAUGAAAACGAACUGGGAGGAUGUGAAAGCAUUUUUUCAGCUAAAAUCCUCCUCAGGCUCCAGCUUUAUAUAGGUGUGCACACCAUCAGAUCCUUCCGUUCCCUUCCCUAACCCAUCCCACCCACACUGACCUUCCCAAAUCAUUCCACAGGAAAUCCUGUUGCCCAUAGCAGGCAGAAGCUCACUGCCCACCUCUGUCAUCCCACAGGGGCCAGAGACAAGAAAGUCAUCACCAGGGAAAGGAGGACUGAGGUUACAAGUAAAGAAAUUGCUAUGAACUGAGAUUCUGCAGUUGGGAGGGUUGCUGCAGUGGAGAAAAGCAACGUUCCCAAGGAGUCAGAUGUGGAAGGAGGAAGGCAGCUUUGCAUCUCAGGUCUGAGAUCCCUAAGCCCGGUGCUUGGGGGAAGCUCUCUGCCACUGCUGAGUGACGAGAAAGCUAGACUCAGAGCCCCACUCUGACCCAACCUGGGUGCUGAGGCCUCUGAAACACCAAUGGGAAGAACAGAAGCAAGAAAGUCUAUCCAUUCAAAUUGGUUUAGAAGAGGUAGAAACUCAUACUCAGCUUUGGGGUAGACUGUUCCUUUGCAAAAGUGAAAUUAAGGCCAUGGAAAAUGAGUUAUUUGUUUGAGAGUCUGGCUCCAAGGAGGGACAUGCUGGCCUCAUUAUUCCCUCAGGAGGGAGAAUUGUGAAAGGAAAAAAAAAAAUGCAUGAACAAGCCAAAGCGAAGCUCUAGCACAAUAUUUAUGGAAGACUAAAUUAAGACUGAGUCAUUCCAGACCCUGAAAAAUACCGGUGUUGUAUUAUGGUGUACUUGAUGAGACUGCCCAACGGGGACCCAUUGGGAGGUCUGGGUUCCCAAGCAAGAAAGGGACAUUUUUCCUCUGAGGCCUUCUGGGAAGCUGGCAGGCUCCAGGACAGGAAGCAAAGACUUGAAGGGGGCUGGGGCUGCAAGCAGCGUUCUGGGCCUCAGACUGUUGGGCCUGGACUCUGAAGACGAGAGACAAACCUGAGGGAAGUCCAGGGUGGUGUAGGGGAACGUUGGCCUUGGUCACCAGAACGUGCCCUUGGGAGACCACAGUGCAGUGGUCAGCGUUCUCAGACUAGGGCCUGCGGGCCUCGCGGACUCGGGGAGGAAUCCUCUCUAGCUCACUGAGGAAACCAGAGGACUAGACAGCACCUCUGAGGUCCCUGCCCAUCCCAGUCCCAUAUUCUUCCUUCUCCUUAGCUCGCUCAGUGUCCCAUCACAACCGGAAGUGUUGCUUCAUCCCCGCAGAGGGAAGUUUGCAGUAACUUAGAGAAGAGCAGACUGUGUUCAUCAGCAACCGACAUUGGCCAGCUCCCGGGGCAGAUCCACCAGCAGCCGUGACCGGCGUGGGCCCACGGCAGCACAGCAUCUCAGGUGCUCCUGACUCCUCUCCCAGCCCAGGGUGCUCAGCAAGCCCAAGAGCCUCGAAGGGGACCUUCUCUUGACCUCUUCUCCGCACUCCCAAGAGAGUGCACAGCAGCAGACACCUGUCACUGGCAGGGAAUCCAGUGAUAAUUCUGUAAAUCAUGAACAAUACUUUAUAUUUGGCCUUCCACGUUUCUCGUUUCCAAGUGCUUACACAGCUGUAUCUACUAAGUAGCAUUGACAGCAGAACGGAAUUCCAAGGAGAGAUGGUGGGCUGAGUAAGAUGAAGCCUGGAGGUCAUUUUAAAGCCUCAUUAAUUCUUCUUGUUUUGCUUUUUCUUGUGGAAAUGUUCAAACAUACCAAAAGUGGAGAAAAUACAGCAUAAUGAGUCUCCAUGUAUCAGCAACGUAGCUUCAAAAAUUAUGGGCAGCUGUAAAAUCUUGUCUCAUUUGUAUCUGCAAUUUUGUUGGAUGUGGUGGGUACUGGAUUUUUUUUUAAGCAAAUCACUGAUAUCA